UACAGAGGUCUCAAGCGUUUGUUCGGAUUCAUUGGGCGUAAAAGGGUGCGUAGGCGGCGCGGUAAGUCGGGUGUGAAAUCUCGGAGCUUAACUCCGAAACUGCAUUCGAUACUGCCGUGCUUGAGGACUGGAGAGGAGACUGGAAUUUACGGUGUAGCGGUGAAAUGCGUAGAUAUCGUAAGGAAGACCAGUGGCGAAGGCGGGGUCUCUGGACAGUUCCUGACGCUGAGGCACGAAGGUCAGGGGAGCAAACGGG
rnacentral:rRNA from 1 species